rnacentral:rRNA from 1 species
UACGUAGGGAGCAAGCGUUGUCCGGAAUCAUUGGGCGUAAAGCGCGCGUAGGUGGCCUCGUAAGUCCGCUGUGAAAGUCAAAGGCUCAACCUUUGAAAGCCGGUGGAUACUGUGGGGCUAGAGUACGGAAGAGGCGAGUGGAAUUCCUGGUGUAGCGGUGAAAUGCGCAGAUAUCAGGAAGAACACCCGUGGCUAAGGCGGCUCUCUAGUACGGUACUGACGCUGAGACGCGAAAGCGUGGGGAGCGAACAGG